rnacentral:rRNA from 1 species
CCACGGGGGGCAGCAGUGGGGAAUAUUGGACAAUGGGCGAAAGCCUGAUCCAGCCAUGCCGCGUGUGUGAAGAAGGCCUUCGGGUUGUAAAGCACUUUCAGUGGGGAAGAAAGCCUUGGGGCUAAUACCCUCGAGGAAGGACAUCACCCACAGAAGAAGCACCGGCUAACUCCGUGCCAGCAGCCGCGGUAAUACGGAGGGUGCGAGCGUUAAUCGGAAUUACUGGGCGUAAAGCGCGCGUAGGCGGUCUGAUAAGCCGGUUGUGAAAGCCCCGGGCUCAACCUGGGAACGGCAUCCGGAACUGGCAGGCUAGAGUGCAGGAGAGGAAGGUAGAAUUCCCGGUGUAGCGGUGAAAUGCGUAGAGAUCGGGAGGAAUACCAGUGGCGAAGGCGGCCUUCUGGACUGACACUGACGCUGAGGUGCGAAAGCGUGGGUAGCAAACAGGAUUAGAUACCCCAGUAGUC